rnacentral:lncRNA from 1 species
GAGGUGUCCUGGGGGUGGAGACUGGAAGGAAAGCCAGGCUAAACCUGUCCUUGGUUAAGAUGGGCAUAGAAAUAUGGCAAGUUCCCCAGAUGUCAGAGAAGGAGGGGCCUUCUGGGGCACUGAGCAUGGUAACCAGCUCACCUACCUGGCAGAGACAGCUCACAGUACAGGGCCCAGGGGCAGGGUGGGGAUCACCCAUGAACAAAAGCCACAUCAGAAUUGAAGAGUGUAUUUGGAGACCCUCCACUGUCUACCCAAACUUCCAAUCCCUCCUUCCACUUUCCCUUCCUCCCUAGAACUAAGUUUCCAAUAUAGUGUGAUCAUUUGGUGGCAUUUGAUACCAAGAGAGAAUGCUAUCUUUUUGCUCCUUACUGUAGACAGCAAGCACAGAAGUGGAACUUUUGGGGAUUCAGUGGAGCUCAACCUCAUAAGCACAGCUCCUAUAAGAUCAGGGAGUCAUGGACGGGUUGCCAUGGACCAUGCCUUUCUACCCAAGCACAAAGAACUUGAUGGGGGUUCUGAGAAUGGAGAAAAGAAGGCUAGCUCCAAGAGCUGCAAGAGUUUUCCAGCAGCAGAAGAAACCAAAUGUGCCCAAGACUACCAGCUCUCCACCAAAGCUCAUUCCACACUCCUCCAAGAGUAUGGACUGGGUUACAAUUCCAAGUACAGAGAGAGAACGUUGUCAUGUGACCAAAACCCAGCCAAAUGAAUGUGAGAAAAAAAUUGUAGGUAUCCUUUCAUUGCUCAGCGCGCCUCUUUGAACAUCUUCCUCCAAUCAGUGGCUGUCACUAAGAUGUACAUUCAAAUGAUGACAAUGACCUAUUUUUGAUGACUUUUUGGAGCACAGCUCAACUAUCCCUCCUGGACUGAUGUGUGGAAGAGAAAUAAACUUGUUUCAGUCUUUGCAUUUCUGAAUGCUAACAUUACUUUAUUAAGGUAUCAUUUAUAUAUAGCAAAGUAUAUACACCUUAAGUGUACAGUUUGGUGAAUUCGUGAAAAAGAUUACAUGAGCCAUCAGCCCACACUAUAUAUAAUAUUUCCAUCUUCCCUGGAAAUUUUCUCAUUGCUCUGUCUAGGCAGCCUCAUCCCUCAUCCCUACCUCUGCCCCUACCACCAGGCAAACACUGUUUUGAUUUUUAUCAACAUGAAUUAGUUUUGCCUAUUCCUAAAUCUCCUGUAAUGGAAAUAUAUAUGAGCUCACUAUGAACUCUGUUGUAUCUGACUUUUUUCAUUCAGUGUAAUGAUUUUGAGAUUCGCUCAUAUUGUUGAAUAUUAUCAGGAGUUUGUUCUUUUUUACUGCCUGGUAGAAUUCUACACUAUCUGUUCUUUUAUUGACAGACAUUUGAAUUGUUUCUACUUUUUGUCUAUCAGGAAUAAAGUAGCUACAAACACUC